rnacentral:lncRNA from 1 species
UUGUACCUUAUCUUCCAUUUACUUUAACACUCCCACUUUGUUAUUGAUCAAAGGCUAAUAAACCUAAUUCCUUUGUCAAUUUAUAAUGUCUAUCCUUUACUGAUGCUUUUGUAAGUAAAUCAGCAGCAUGUGUUCCAUUGCACAAUACUUUAUGUCAAUUAUUCCCAUCUCAAUCUUCUCCCAUAUGAAGUGAUGUUGAAUGUCAAUGUACUUUGUCC